AACAGGGUGGCCUCAAACUCCUUGUCUGCCUGCUUGUCUCCCAAGUGCUAGGACUGAAGAUGUGUACCACCAUCACCCCAUGGUUGUGAUGAAGCAAUAAGAAUUUGAUGAAUAAUGGAUUACUUGAUAAGAUAUACCUGAAGACCAAGCUGUUCCUAAAAGACACCCCACCACGCCACAGGGGAGUCUAGCAUGGCUGCCCUCCAAGAGGCC